rnacentral:lncRNA from 1 species
GGGAGAGGAGAGGAGGCAAGCCAGCCAGGAAGGGUGGGAGCACACCCCCCUUUUUUUGCAGAUGAGGGAAUGUGGGAGAUCAGAGAUGAUACAUAAAAGCCACUUCUGCUUCUUCCCUGUGGCCACCCCCUCUCAUGGCAUCUCUGAAGCUGCUUUGGUUGAGGGAGAAACAGGCAAAGAAGGGGAGCCUCCCCUCUGAACACAACAAGGGCAUUGUUACCAAGUAUGGCCUGCAAGGCUGACCUGUUCUAGACGGCUCUGUGCAUCCUACCAGCAGGGAGGUGGGUAUCAUCCCUGCACCCAUUUGACAGGUGUGGAAACUGAGGUCCGGACAGCCUGUUCCUGGCCCCAAAUCCCGCAGCCAGUAGGUGGCAGGGCCAGGAUGUCAGCACCAGCCUUUGUGUGGUGAUCUCUGCCUUUAACUGCUAAGCUCCGGCCCUUGGUGUUGGGUAGACCCAUUCCUGGAAGCCGCGGGGACCUGUCUGCCUGCUUACCCAGAAUGCACAUCACCUCUGGGAGAGCGGCCUCCAGGGGCUGAGCGCCCCUUCAGGAAGCCCCGCUUUCCUGUCCUCUGUAGCCUCCUCCCUGGCCAAGGUCCUGAGCAGCCUCAUGGGGGAGGGAGGCCCCGGCCCGUGGGACCCGGGGCCCAGCUGUGCCAGUAACAGCACUGGCUGCCCUCAGGGGCCCUGGCAGGGUCACCAGGCCAAGCGGGAGGCAGGCCCACUCUGGGUUGAAGAGGAC